AAAAGAUUACUUCCUCGCCGUGUACACACUUUCAGUAUCAACUUUGUCGUUCGGGCACACCCACCGCGUCGGUAAUAUCAUCGUGGCUCGAAGAAACGCAUCGCCACCUGACCGUGGAACGGAUUCGAUAAGUGCAAACCGUCUUCACCACCAAACCAGGGAACGUCACCGGUCAGCAUCGUCAUCAGUUCCAUUAAAACCCCGUAAUGAGAUACUUCAGCGCUGGCAAAAAGUCAUCAUGCGGCGACUUCACUCCAAUACCGUCUACCCGGGGCCAACAGGAUACUGCUGCUGAUUUACCACACGCACUGGUUGAUUUUGGCACGCAAAGAAGGACAAAAAACAGGCACACGGACGCACCCGCUACCCGAUGGAUGUGACUAAUGAGCGA